AUGGAGAAGCUUCCCAAGCACCCGGCUAACUACGUUCCACUUAGACCGGUCGGGUUCCUUCCGCGCGCCAGUGCAGUAUACGGCGACCGUCGGUCGUCAACGGGCGUCUCAAGUUCACAUGGAGCCAGACGCACGAGCGCUGCCGCCGCCUCGCCGCCGCCGUCGUCACCCUCGGCGUCCGCAAGAACGACGUGGUCUCCGUCCUCGCGCCCAACGUGCCUGCAACGUACGAGAUGCACUUCGCCGUGCCCAUGGCUGCGGCCGUGCUCAACAACAUCAAAACGCGCCUGGACGCCAAGGCGGCGGCGGUCAUCCUGA
rnacentral:rRNA from 1 species